rnacentral:rRNA from 1 species
GACGAACGCUAGCUACAGGCUUAACACAUGCAAGUCGAGGGACCGGCGCACGGGUGAGUCACACGUAUCCAACGUGCCUUUUACUCGGGGAUAGCCUUUCGAAAGAAAGUUUAAUACCCGAUGUAAAGGAUGGGGAUGCGUUCCAUUAGGUUGUUGGUGAGGUAACGGAUCACCAAGCCUGCGAUGGAUAGGGGUUCUGAGAGGAAGGUCCCCGACAUUGGAACAGGGACACGGUCCAAACUCCUACGAGAGGCAGCAGUGAGGAAGAAUGGUCAAAGAGCGUGAGCCUGAACCAGCCAAGUAGCGUGAAGGAUGAAGGCGUAUGAGGCGUAAACUUCUUUUAUAUAAGGAUCUGUAUUAGAUGAAUAAGGAUCGGCUAACUCCGUGCCAGCCGCCGCGGUAAUUC